rnacentral:lncRNA from 1 species
GCUACAUCAUGCCAGGUGCUCUGGGAUGAGUGAAAAAUAAAAUCAUACCCAAGUACCUCUCUGACGCAGCCAAAAUUUAAGGUGUUUCAAUCACCCGAGAUUGAUUUGCUCUUUGACUUCAUUCCUCAACUAUGAAAACAAAGACAGUACCUGUAUCUAAUAUGCUGCAAGAAUAACUUCCCCAUCUGAGAAAUCUCUCCAGAAAUUAGCAAUUGUUCAGUUCAAGGUCUGGGUAGGGUGUAAAAUAAAUAGAUGUAGAACCACAUGGAGAAAGUAAAUGUGGGGAAGAGAAAAUGAAUUAUGCAGCAAUUACCUAUCCAGUGAAAAAAAGGACUCUGAAAGGGAAAAAAUUAUGCAAUUACAGAAUUAAAGAUUGUAUCAUAAUGCAGAUGCAAAGGGGAGUUCUGCAACAUUAGUCCUGGAACUUCAUUGCUUUUGUCCGCCUGAUUUUGCAACCCCAUUGUUCUCCUGAUGUCAUAAUUCUGUAAGCAAUUGAAAUGCAACACAAUUAUGUGAUCAUAUGUUUAGAUCUUUUCAUCAUUAAUAACAUGUGGAACAACCAGCAGCCUCUGCUCCCAACACGAUGGAUGCCUCCAGCACAUGGCUGUGAACAACUACCUCUCUUCCACCUUGAUCUGAGGUCAGGGAAGAAGCCCAAGGAAGAAGGCUGUGUUUCUGUGCUAGUUGGUAGAUGCAGUCAGUGAGCUUCAGGAAGAGCAUCAUAUAAAAUACAACUGGCAAGCAAACAUUACAAUUGUAUGCGUUCAUCCUGGAUGAUAAUUGUUAUAUUGGGUCUUUUAAGGAAAUUACCCUGCAUACCUCCGACUUCAGGCCAAUUGCCAACAUGUUUCUCAGCGUCUGGGUAAGCCUGCUUUGUGAGGGAAAGCAGCUGCAAUAGCAACAACCUAACUUGUUUUAUUUGCAGAUGGCAUUAGCUGGCAAGAGGCAGUGUGUCUUGACAGCAUGCUCCCCAUGCAUGCUUCAUGCUUUUUAAAAAGUCUUGUUUGCCUUUGUAUGUACCCAAUUGCAAACAUACACCCAGCCUUUCUUUUAAGUAGUACUUCCACCUUGUCUGUGGGGUGCUGGCAACGAGUACCAAAAGCUUGACAUGAUCUUGUGCACCUAACAAAGCAAGUUUCACUUCUAUCUUUCCCCAUCCUCAGAGAGCGGAGCUUGCAAAACUUGGAGCUGUCAAGUCCCUGAGGUGCAGUCAGUCAGAGCCUGCAGUGUCCCAAGCACUCGGGUCACCACCAGCUCUUCUCAGUACACAUCUUUUGGAAAAGCUCCACCAUGGAAAAGUCCACUGUGGUAAUGGAAACAU